UAGAGUUUGAUUCAUGGCUCAGAUUGAACGCUGGCGGCAGGCCUAACACAUGCAAGUCGGGCGGCAGCACAGGUACUUGUACCGGGUGGCGAGCGGCGGACGGGUGAGUAAUGCCUAGGAAUCUGCCUGGUAGUGGGGGAUAACGCUCGGAAACGGACGCUAAUACCGCAUACGUCCUACGGGAGAAAGCAGGGGACCUUCGGGCCUUGCGCUAUCAGAUGAGCCUAGGUCGGAUUAGCUAGUUGGUGAGGUAAAGGCUCACCAAGGCGACGAUCCGUAACUGGUCUGAGAGGAUGAUCAGUCACACUGGAACUGAGACACGGUCCAGACUCCUACGGGAGGCAGCAGUGGGGAAUAUUGGACAAUGGGCGCAAGCCUGAUCCAGCCAUGCCGCGUGUGUGAAGAAGGUCUUCGGAUUGUAAAGCACUUUAAGUUGGGAGGAAGGGUUGUUACCUAAUACGUGACGAUUUUGACGUUACCGACAGAAU
rnacentral:rRNA from 1 species